rnacentral:sRNA from 1 species
CAAGUGUUGUUUAUGUUUGUUAUGUUUUUGUAAUCAAAUAAAUACGAACAUAACUAGCCAAGGCAAUUAUUUUUAAUUUAAUUUCAAAUAAAACUAAAUUUAUUUUCGGAUUUGUUACCAAAACGGUUAAGACUUUCGAAUCAAGUGAAGACUAAUUGUAGAGCGACAUGACAGAAAAACGAAAAUUUCGGCCACAAUAAUUUUCUACUUUUAAAUGGUUGAUGGAUAAUGAUGGCUCUGCUUUCUGUAACAUUUGCUCUAAGGCCUUGAUAUGCCCCACUAGAAGAGACAAAUAUCACUUGAUACAUUUUGCACGGAAAAAACUAAUGAAGCUCUGCAAGUUAGAAAUGCUGAACUUAUUCUCGUUAUGUGUUUUAUAAUGCAUAAUUUGCCUUUCUGGUCGGAUGUUGGAUUCAAAAAUAGCACCAAUGACCAAAUGCGGUACGACGAAGUCAACCGAGAUUGAGAACUACAUUGCACAGCAGACGAGCUCUUAUUUUGCCAAAUUUGGAAUAAACCGAGUAUAUAGCAAAUAAUCCAUUUAUCGAUUUUAAAAACCAUUAACACCAAAUUGAAACUGCAAACAUUUUUAUUGCAACGAAAGUCAAAAUUUUUGCAGAAAACAAUUUCAAUGCAGCUCAAAUAGUUGAAGUGAAAAAUUAAA